rnacentral:rRNA from 1 species
UACGUAGGGGGCGAGCGUUAUUCGGAAUUACUGGGCGUAAAGGGUGUGUAGGCGGCACUGCAAGUCAGAUGUGAAAUCUCCCGGCUCAACCGGGGGCGUGCAUCUGAUACUGCAGUACUUGAGUGAUAGAGGGGAAAGCGGAAUUCCUAGUGUAGCGGUGAAAUGCGUAGAUAUUAGGAGGAACACCAGUGGCGAAGGCGGCUUUCUGGCUAUGAACUGACGCUGAGGCGCGAAAGCGUGGGGAGCAAACAGG